rnacentral:rRNA from 1 species
UGGGGAAUAUUGCACAAUGGGGGAAACCCUGAUGCAGCGACGCCGCGUGAGCGAUGAAGUAUUUCGGUAUGUAAAGCUCUAUCAGCAGGGAAGAUAAUGACGGUACCUGACUAAGAAGCUCCGGCUAAAUACGUGCCAGCAGCCGCGGUAAUACGUAUGGAGCAAGCGUUAUCCGGAUUUACUGGGUGUAAAGGGAGCGUAGGCGGUCCUGCAAGUCUGAUGUGAAAACCCGGGGCUCAACCCCGGGACUGCAUUGGAAACUGUAGGACUAGAGUGUCGGAGAGGUAAGUGGAAUUCCUAGUGUAGCGGUGAAAUGCGUAGAUAUUAGGAGGAACACCAGUGGCGAAGGCGGCUUACUGGACGACCACUGACGCUGAGGCUCGAAAGCGUGGGGAGCAAACAGG